AUUCUCAUGAACAUCGAAUACGAUAAUUACUUACCACCUGAAUUCCUUGAAUAUUCAAGAAUCAUGGCCACAAAAGCCAUUGUUUUUCGUUUGGCUAUGCUUUCGUUGGUGUUUGCUGCCCUCUUUGCUCUUCAUGAAGCAACGGGAAACCAAACCAAUGAUACUCAAAACAAUAGUGCUGGGAAAAUUGAUGUUGCUGAUGCAGUUCAUGCAAGAGAUCAUGACGCGAUUAAAGGAAGCAAAUUAAAUAUUCCAAUCUGCCGCAGAUCAGAGUGUACGGAUGACAAGACCUGUUGGUGCUGCAUGUUCGAACAAAGCUGCUGGACCGAUCAACCAACCUGUGAAAAAAGUUGUCCUAAACCUGUCUCUACAAAAGGCCUCCCACCCCUUUAAAGCUCAUGAUCAAUCCUCUAGCAGGCACUUGAUCAGAAUUAUUGCAUUACAUUGUACACCGCAUGGAUAUUAUGUCUCAGUAACUAUGAAUAAAGAACAGAACAAUGCAUGAGCUA